ACCUUCCAACCAAUCCGUAAGACUAGUGGUGAUGUUAGUAAAAUGAGAUCACCUAUAAGCCUGGAAAGUCCGGGACUUUCCAACCCAACAAAUAGAGGAUGAGAUCAUGUAGUAACAAAGAGGCCCCUAUAGGCUUCAGACACUGCAGUUUGCUGCUAGCAUCUAGCACCAUCCAUAGGAUCUCAAUGAUUACCACAUUU